GGUCUUGAAGUAUGUAAUACGUUGAAUUGCAAAUUCAAAGAAGUAGUUAUUAGGCUGCCAAGGCU
rnacentral:tRNA from 1 species